AGGGCAGGCUCAGGCUGCGGGCGCGGAGCCGGCUGCCAGAGCAGCCUUCCCUGCUCUGCGCUCCUGUGCGGGUUCAUCCUGGAGCCUGCCGUCAGGAUCGACAAGACCAUGCUGGCGAGUCUGAAGGUCAAAGGUGGAAACGGGCGCGGCGGGCCCAGAAGGGCGAGAACGCUGCAGCGGCGUGACUGCUGGCUCUCGGCCUGCGGUGUGGGAAAGACGCCUGCGCUUUCGGUCAUCUUAGUUUCUCUCUGAAGCCCAGUUCUGUCGAGCUGUCUUCCUGAUGCCCCUGCCUACCUGAACUAGAACCAGCUCUCGAGCAUCACAAACUGCCCUGUUACCUGUGUGUGUUUGUGGGGGAGAGGGGCCAGCUGGUUGCUGAGACAUCCGAUGGCAGACCUGACCUCCUGGUCUACGUGGCCCUGGGGCUUUCUGAGUCCCCCAUGCCAGAGUCAGGGUCUGGGAAUUGUUGAGCAACUGUGCUCGUGGUUUGGUCUGCCUCAGUUUACCAUAUGUCUGCUGGUCUAGUUGGAGCCUCGAGCAGGCACACCACACAUCUCUCUCCUGGAACCCCUGGACUUCUUCGUUCCUUUUCCUUCCGUGUUUCUGGCUGAGCCAUUUUGUCUGCAUCCUGAUCCUCUUUCCCCCUUUGAGACUUAGUGAAUGUCUAGCCUAAUUCCAUCUUCAUCCUUCCUUUGGGACAGGGAGUACUGACCGCCUACCUGCUCCAACUGAGUGAAUUGGAGGAGGGAAAUUCAAGGAGGAAAAAUAGCAUUAGUCACUAGCUCAAAAUAUUAUCCUGCUACAUGUGAACUAGGUUGUACAGGAAAACUCCCCUGGUGAGCUGCCCUCCUUCAGAGCAGUUCCUCCCAUCACAGUGGAAAGGGCUUCCAGGCCAGCCUCCCUCUGCCAUGCCAUUCAAUUGCCAGCACUGACCAUGUAUUUCCUGGGUGUAGGUCCCUGGGCAAGCCACAGCCAGUCUUGGGGGUUGUCAUAAAGGAGGGUCAAGAUAUUAAUAAGAGGGAAGCAGAUGUGGCUCAACUGAUAGAGUAUCCGUCUACCAUAUAGGAGGUCCAGGGUUCAAACCCAGGUGGCCCAUGUAGUGAGCUGGCCAUUGUGCAGUGCUGCCACAUGCAAGGUGUGCCGUGCCACGCAGGGGUGUCCCCUCUGUAGGGGUGCUCCACGCGCAAGGUGUGCGCCCUGCAAGGAGAGCCGCUCCGCGUGAAAAAAAAGUGCAGCCUGCUCAGGAGUGGUGCUGCACACAUGGAGAGCUGAUGCAGCAAGAUGAUGCAACAAAAAAGAGACACAUUCCCAGUGUCACCUGAUAAUACAAGCGGACGCAGAAGAACACACAGCGAAUGGACAGAGAGAGCAGAUAACAGGGGGGAGGGGGAGAGAAAUAAAUAAAAUAAAUCUUUAAAAAAAGGAGUCUAUUAAAAAAAAGAUAUUAAUAAGAGGUUUCCCACUCUGGUUUGUUCUGCUCAGAAGGGUGCAGGUAGGCCACUGGCAGGGCUGGGGUGGAGGGUAAACUGUCCCUGCCCUCUGAGAGCUUAUAACCUUUUUGUAGAAUUGAUGCAAGGGGUGUAGUAGGAGCAGUCCCAGAAGACUGCCAGGAGGAAGUGGCUUCUAAAGAGGCUUUUAAAGAUACUUUGGGACAAUGGGCUUACCUGUGCCUGUGCUGGGUUGGCAAGUCAAUCUUGGGCAAGACACUUAACUUCUCUGGGCUACGGUUUCCUUAUCUUUGGUCUAAUGGCCUUCCCAGAGCUUCUUGCAUAUUGAAUGAGAUGGUAGGCAGGAAAGCAGAGUGAAUAAGGG
ensembl:lincRNA